rnacentral:rRNA from 1 species
GACGAACGCUGGCGGCGUGCUUAACACAUGCAAGUCGAACGGUGAAGCGCCUUCCUUUUUGGUGGGUGUGGAUGGGUGGCGAACGGGUGAGUAACACGUGAGUAACCUGCCCCCUUCUUCUGGAUAACCGCAUGAAAGUGUGGCUAAUACGGGAUAUUCUGGGUCUGUCGCAUGAUGGGUCUGGGAAAGAUAUUGUUUCGGUGGGGGAUGGGCUCGCGGCCUAUCAGCUUGUUGGUGGGGUGAUGGCCUACCAAGGCGGUGACGGGUAGCCGGCCUGAGAGGGUGGACGGUCACACUGGGACUGAGACACGGCCCAGACUCCUACGGGAGGCAGCAGUGGGGAAUAUUGCACAAUGGGCGCAAGCCUGAUGCAGCGACGCCGCGUGAGGGAUGGAGGCCUUCGGGUUGUGAACCUCUUUCGCCAGUGAAGCAGGCCUGCCUCGUUUGUGGGUGGGUUGACGGUAGCUGGAUAAGAAGCGCCGGCUAACUACGU